rnacentral:rRNA from 1 species
GAGUUUGAUCGUGGCUCAGAUUGAACGCUGGCGGCAGGCCUAACACAUGCAAGUCGAGCGGUAGAGAGAAGCUUGCUUCUCUUGAGAGCGGCGGACGGGUGAGUAAUGCCUAGGAAUCUGCCUGGUAGUGGGGGAUAACGCUCGGAAACGGACGCUAAUACCGCAUACGUCCUACGGGAGAAAGCAGGGGACCUUCGGGCCUUGCGCUAUCAGAUGAGCCUAGGUCGGAUUAGCUAGUUGGUGAGGUAAUGGCUCACCAAGGCGACGAUCCGUAACUGGUCUGAGAGGAUGAUCAGUCACACUGGAACUGAGACACGGUCCAGACUCCUACGGGAGGCAGCAGUGGGGAUAUUGGACAAUGGGCGCAAGCCUGAUCCAGCCAUGCCGCGUGGAUGAUGAAGGCCCUAGGGUUGUAAAGUCCUUUCGGCGGGAAGAUAAUGACGGUACCCGCAGAAGAAGCCCCGGCUAACUUCGUGCCAGCCGCCGCCGUAAC